rnacentral:tRNA from 1 species
GCGGUGGUGGUGCGUCCAAAAAAUCUGGACAGCGCGCCACGGGGUAGGGUCAAACCGAGAGGGGUUCGACUCCCCUCCGCCGCA